rnacentral:rRNA from 1 species
CGAACGGGUGAGUAAUACAUCGGAACGUGCCCAGUAGUGGGGGAUAGCCCGGCGAAAGCCGGAUUAAUACCGCAUACGACCUAUGGGUGAAAGCGGGGGAUCGCAAGACCUCGCGCUAUUGGAGCGGCCGAUGUCGGAUUAGCUUGUUGGUGAGGUAAAAGCUCACCAAGGCGACGAUCCGUAGCUGGUCUGAGAGGACGACCAGCCACACUGGGACUGAGACACGGCCCAG